rnacentral:rRNA from 1 species
CCUACGGGUGGCAGCAGUCGAGAAUCAUUCACAAUGGGGGAGACCCUGAUGGUGCGACGCCGCGUGGGGGAAUGAAGGUCUUCGGAUUGUAAACCCCUGUCAUGUGGGAGCAAAUUAAAAAGAUAGUACCACAAUAGGAAGAGACGGCUAACUCUGUGCCAGCAGCCGCGGUAAUACAGAGGUCUCAAGCGUUGUUCGGAAUCACUGGUCGUAAAGCGUGCGUAGGCUGUUUAGUAAGUCGUGUGUGAAAGGCGCGGGCUCAACCCGCGGACGGCACAUGAUACUGCGAGACUAGAGUAAUGGAGAGGGAACCGGAAGUCUGGGUGUAGCAGUGAAAUGCGUAGAU